GACGAACGCUGGCGGCGUGCUUAACACAUGCAAGUCGAACGGAAAGGCCCUGCUUUUGUGGGGUGCUCGAGUGGCGAAAGGGUGAGUAACACGUGAGUAACCUGCCCUUGACUUUGGGAUAACUUCAGGAAACUGGGGCUAAUACCGGAUAGGAGCUCCUGCUGCAUGGUGGGGGUUGGAAAGUUUCGGCGGUUGGGGAUGGACUCGCGGCUUAUCAGCUUGUUGGUGGGGUAGUGGCUUACCAAGGCUUUGACGGGUAGCCGGCCUGAGAGGGUGACCGGCCACAUUGGGACUGAGAUACGGCCCAGACUGCUACGGGAGGCAGAAGUGGGGAAUAUUGCACGAUGGGCGGAAGCCUGAUGCAGCAACGCCGCGUGCGGGAUGACGGCCUUCGGGUUGUAACCCGCUUUCGCCUGUGACGAAGCGUGAGUGACGGUAAUGGGUAAAGAAGCACCGGCUAACUACGUG
rnacentral:rRNA from 1 species